rnacentral:snRNA from 8 species
CAAGCCUUUCGCCUUUUACUAAAGACUUCCGUGGAGAGGAACACUUACGAGUUCAACGUAUUUUUGGAAGGGCUUUGCUUCUGGCAGAGCC